UGAUAUCUAGGCUCUCGCAUCGAUGAAGAACGUAGCGAAAUGCGAUACUUGGUGUGAAUUGCAGAAUCCCGUGAACCAUCGAGUUUUUGAACGCAAGUUGCGCCCGAAGCCAUCCGGCUUAGGGCACGUCUGCCUGGGCGUCACGCAUCUUGUCGCCACCCCUCCCCUAAUUACGGCGUGGGGUGACGGAUGUUGGCUUCCCGUGUUCUUGCGGCGCGGUUGGCCUAAAUUUGAGUCUCUGGCGCGAGACGUCACGGCAAGUGGUGGUUGAAAUCAUCAACUCGUGUGCUGUCGUGAUCACGCCUGGCACGGACUCCAUCGACCCUAGAGCCCUCGGCCCAUAUUUGAGCCGCGUGCCUUCGAAC
rnacentral:rRNA from 1 species